rnacentral:rRNA from 1 species
CAGCCGCCGCGGGAAUACGAAGGGGGCUAGCGUUGUUCGGAUUUACUGGGCGUAAAGCGCACGCAGGCGGAUCGAUCAGUCAGGGGUGAAAUCCCAGAGCUCAACUCUGGAACUGCCUUUGAUACUGUCGAUCUGGAGUAUGGAAGAGGUGAGUGGAAUUCCGAGUGUAGAGGUGAAAUUCGUAGAUAUUCGCAAGAACACCAGUGGCGAAGGCGGCUCACUGGCCCGGUACUGACGCUGAGGUGCGAAAGCGUGGGGAGCAAACAGGAUUAGAUACCCCCGUAGUCCCUGUCUCUUAUAC